CACAUUCAGAAAACACAAUUACAGUAUCAGAAGGCAAGAUGCUUGCUUUAACUAGCCAUAUCGUAAUUAACGGAAGUUGCAAUUAUUAUUCUAUCAAUUUCGCAUAUCCAAUGGCAGUGAUAUCUGGGUUCCCAAGAGUGCAGGCAUAAUCAAAUAUAGACCCAAAGUCUCAACCGCAGCAUCUACAAAGUUUCAGCAACAAGAAACCUAGGGCUACAAAAUAAGAUGAGAAUUGAUAUCAUGGGCCACAGCCACAACAAACUCAAAUAAUUUCCACCAUAUUUACGAGUUUUUAUCCUGCAAUUAGCCUAUAAUAACGUCCAAAUUUGCUAAAAUAAUGAUGAUGGAGUACUUUUCACAUCACUUUUUAUUUCAAUUACCCAAGUUCUGAUGGAAUAGGAAGAGCACGCACAACCACCAGGGACAUGAUUCCUCACCUAAGUCAACAUCGCUGGCAAUCCGUAUCUCCCCUGUUACUAUCGGGGCCAACGAUUUACGCUACGAAGCUCAUGUUUAUGAGAUGGUAGAAGUUGUAGAUUGAUGUUAUUUAAUCCGCCUUUUUUUAUGAUUUUAUAAUUAUUUUUCAAGACGAGAAAGGGUCAGAAGUGCAUGCUCUGCGUCCAAAAGCUUGCUAACGAGCCCCAUGGCAGCGACAAUGGCAGCAAGCCAGCACCUCGCAUAAAGUUUUCCCUCCGAGCAAAACUUGAGAAAAACGAAAUACAUUAAAGGGUCCUGAUUUUCUUGGACAUGGUGAUUGCCGUUGUCUUCUACUUCGUCACUUCUUGCUAUCUGGAAAUGGCCUUCACACCUAAUCUCUCAUAUCCAGGAAAUUAUCACCUUUGAAAGAGAAAAACUAGCAAGUUUCUUUUCAACCAAAAAUACAAAAAGAAGCAAGUUUCUCUUUCAGCUCCUUUUCCUUCUUUGAACAAAACCGCAUGACAGGGCACUACUGAAC
rnacentral:lncRNA from 1 species